GAUGAACGCUGGCGGCGUGCCUAAUACAUGCAAGUCGAGCGAACAGACGAGGAGCUUGCUCCUCUGACGUUAGCGGCGGACGGGUGAGUAACACGUGGAUAACCUACCUAUAAGACUGGGAUAACUUCGGGAAACCGGAGCAAAUACCGGAUAAUAUAUUGAACCGCAUGGUUCAAUAGUGAAAGACGGUGUUGCGGUCACUUAUAGAUGGAUCCGCGCCGCAUUAGCUAGUUGGUAAGGUAACGGGUUACCAAGGCAACGAUGCGUAGCCGACCUGAGAGAGUGAUAGGCCACACUGGAACGGAGACACGGACCAGACUCCUACGGGAGGCAGCAGUAGGGAAUCUUCGGCAAUGGGCGAAAGCCUGACGGAGCAACGCCGCGUGAGUGAUGAAGGUCUUCGGAUCGUAAAACUCUGUUAUUAGGGAAGAACAAAUGUGUAAGUAACUAUGCACGUCUUGACGGUACCUAAUCAGAAAGCCACGGCUAACUACGUG
rnacentral:rRNA from 1 species